AUUGAUGAGAGAGCGAUAAAUAAGAAAAGAGUUCGUAACCCAUGGGAGAGGAAUCAAAAUCACAUGAUGUGUCUCAACUCUGCAAAGGCCAUUGGAUGUACUGUUGUCAACAUUGGCACGCAGGAUUUAGUGGAAGGAAGGUUUUGGGCCAUCAUAUUUCCCCGAGAAUCAAGGGAAAGGAAGAGGAAAGUAAAAUGUUGAUACAUGAUCUGUUGCAAGUGUUUACGUCGCGCAGAAACUUUAAUCUGUUGUGCAGAAUACAUUUCUUCAGAGAAACCGUUGGUUGUGUGCAGAAUAUAUUUCUUCAGAAAAUGUGUUAUUGUGCAGAAACUACAAUGAAGUUGUCGGGGAGAAGAUCCAGUGAACAAAGCUACAUUGAGUUGGGUCAAAGUGACUCGUACGUUUUCCUGAUCUGCAUCCUAUCUCAAUGUAUUUCUGUUAGUAAGCACAUUUUAAUUCUUUGAAGGCAUGUCGUAUAAUUAUCCAUAAUAAGGUAUUGUGGGUUUUGUACAUAUUCAGGUCCUUGAAACGGUCUAUUGUGCAUCGAAAGUCACGUUCAUCUCUGGGAAAUUUCACCGCAGCUUCCGUCGUACAUGUGCUUCGAUCUAUUUUCGUAUUCUUUUCUUGGAUGUUUGACAAAUGCUUCACAAACUAAGCUCAUGUUAAACAUGCACAACUAUGUAAGAUAGUUUCACCUCUCUUAUGUACUUGCAGAUUGACAUCCAUUGCCAAUUUAUAUUGUUUCUAAACUGAAAAAAUGAUGCCCUUGUUCACCGAUUAUCUAUGAACUGAGAUGAUGCCCUCAUGUACUACAUUGGUCUUUCAGAUGCUGGUUGUGCACACAUGGCAUUAUUAGCUUGUCCUUUUCUACUUUAUUUGUUUAGUUCAAUGAAAAUGGAACUACCGCCCGUAACUUUUAUGCACGUGCUACCUUCGAUUUUCAGUUCCUUAAUAUAUCUUGUUAAGCUUACCUGCAAAGGUUAUCAUAAACCAUAACUAUCUAACGUGUAUUGCACUCUGACCUGAUGUAGUAAUUCGCAAUAGCAGUGCCACGGUUCAGUUCAGCAUGGGGACCAACUACCUGUAUAAUGUCCACUCCUACUGGUCUUUCACCUGUCAAACAAGAAGACGUAGUGCACCUAGCUGCUGAAAAGGAGAUGACCGUGGUCCUCUUGACAACAAAGAUGAAGACGCAACAGACCAAGCCUUUGCGUUCUCCACUCGCAUGCACAAGGAGUUCCGCAAGAUGGCCAAUGUUGUUAAGAACCAGGUCACUAGCAACUACUACAUGGCUGACUUGACCAAACCCGCUCUUGCAAGACUUCAAUUUACCGCAACCUGGUAAAUGAUGAGUAUAAUGAAUGAAGCGCUCAGCAGACUGGUUGUGCGAGUAGGUUCGACAUUUGUACCCCAUGACUAUGUUUCCAUAAUUGAUUGGGACAUCCCCACUUUUCUUUAGAGAUGAAGGGAACAUUUGCACUCCCUCUAUGUCAUGCCUGCGACCAUGAUUACUCAUUAUACCCAUGUUCAUUUUUGGGUCAUGUUUUUGAAC